CCUGGUUCUCUCCUCCCCUGCGAUGGAGAAGACGCAGCUCUGACAACCCUAUCUCCGCCGGGCAUUGACAUCUUUCACCCGCAUUAUAUACAUAUCUCUCUCUGACUCCAUUCUUUUCCCUAAUUCAUUGUUUCCAAACACUUAUCUCCUUGUUGGAUGCUGCAAUGAUGAGACCACCCACAAGUAUAAGGGAAAAACUGUUAUUACUGAUAAGGAACGCUAUGAGUCUCUUCGCCACUGCAGUUGAAUUGGUGGUCAGAAAAUGAAGUCUGGCUCAUACAAAAAUGAAGUCUGGCAUCCGUUGCACAUAUCCAUGUAUCAGUCAUCUGUACACAAGUGAAAAGAUUGGCCUUUCUUGAAGUUGAGCUUAAUGAGUUCAUUGCAUUUGAUAUUUGAUGAAUCGUUUAAUAGAAUACUGAGUUACUUAUGUAUUUGUCAACCAGACCAAAUCCCUUCAGAGAUAACAACAUAACUAGACCAAUCCCUUCAGAGAUUGGAAAACUCUCCAAGCUUCAAAGUCUUGAUCUCUCUGAUAACUUCUUCAAUGGGGAAAUUCCUCCCUCUCUGGGUCACCUGAGAACCUCCAAUACCUGAGGCUUAAUAAUAGCAUUCCAUUGUGCUGUUUCAUUAUUAAUGGAAUCCCCCUUGUCGGUGCCACAGAAAAAGGAUCAAAGUGCCCUGGGAUGACUCUCAUGCCCAUGUCCAUGAACUUGAAUUAGUACUGCGAGAGUCAAUACAAGUGUACACAACCUAUGAUGUCCAGUGAGGAAGCAUAUACAUCGAGCCUCACAUGACCUAAGGGCUGUUAUCACAACCUAUGAGGGAAAGCAACACCAUGAUGUCCCUGCAGCCCGUGGCAAUGGCAGUCAUAUCAACAGACCGCCGCCAAACAACACUGCAAAUCCCACCAAUGCAGCCACUGCCAAAAGGCCCUCGGCAAUGACCCAUCACACUGCAAACCCCAUCUCUGCCCAUGGCUAUGCAUGUAAACAUGUUUUGUUCCUGUCAGAAGCGAUGUGUACUGGCCCAUCCUCUUUAGGGAACCGUUUCUGAUAUACAAUCAACUGAAUACCCAACAAUUUCUGAACCACAGAACUAGCAGGACAGAUUGGUACUUCAAUAUGAAAGCUUGGAAAAUGGUGGAGCAGCUAUUCAUUGUAGCUUAUAACAAGGCAGCAGCUAUUAUUGUUGCAAAAGCUGAUUAUGUGUAAAUUUUCAAUACAUGGACUGUUGUUCUUCUUCCACUUGUAAUAUUCCUUUAGUUCAAUGUAUUUAUCUCAAUUGUAAUCAUACUAAGAUGUAA